AACCUCCAGAUCCCUUACCCACCAGAUCCAAACACUGGUCUGAGUGGCUCUAAACGGAGGAAAGUAAAACCGAAAUGACUAGGAUUCUUUUGUGACAUACUAGUUCGUUUAAAAAAAAA
rnacentral:snoRNA from 1 species